GGCAGGGAUGGAGGUGGUCACGGAUGCUUCAUCUAUAAACCAGCCUCUGACUCUCCAUCCUCUCCAACUUUCCACCUCCCCGGCUUUGCUACUGAUUGGAGCAAGAGGAGCAGCUCAACUCCCUCAGCUCCAUUAACACUGCACAUGGCCUGUACCCGAGGCUGGGAUGUGUGUACGCACGUUUCUGCAUGCGUGUGCCUGCUUCCAGUGCUAUACAAACCCAGUAACAGCAUGUUUCUGCCCUCAGAUGUAAGACUGGUUGAGCAAACGGGGGAAAGGGCCUGAUACAGACGGAAGAGCGUGAUGAAGCCUCUGGUCUCCAUGGAGUCUUUGUUUAUACUCCUCUCAUUUCCUCGUCUUUUUUUCCUUCUUUUUUUGUUCAAUUUUUUUUCUAUGGAGUAUUUUUAGCAUGUAGGAAAGAGCAGUGCCCUGCUUCGCUGGAUGCAGGGCAUCAGGAGCAGAUGGCAUACAAGCUUCUCACACUGUGCUCCCUGUAAAAGCACCUCUGUCUCAAGUCACCUUGAGGUUACUGCGGUCCUGGACUCCCCAUCCUCCUCCUCCUCCUCCUCAGCCCACACCUUCCCUGGUUCACUGCCUCAUCCUCAGCUCCCGGGGCAGCUCUCAGCAAGGCUGGACAGCAGCGUGAGGCUGAUGAUGGUACCCAAACCAGCGCCUUGUGCAGGUGGGUCAGAUGCAUUCAGAGGAGCAAAGGAUGGGGCUGGUGUGCAGGUGGCCACCACCAUCCCCUUGCUCUUGCAGCUCUCUGUCCCCUCCCUGCACCCAAUAACAUCAUGGUGUUAGUUUAGGUGGACUAGGAUGCCCUACUGAGGCUGGCAUCACUUCCAGGGCAGCUCUCAGCAAGGCUGGACAGCAGUGUGAUGAUGGUACCUGAAGCAGCACCUUGUGCAGGUGGGUCAGAUGCAUUCAGAGGAGCAGAGGAUGGGGCUGGGGUGCAGGAGAGAUGCAGUGGCCACUGCCAUUCCCUUGCUCCUGCAGCAUUCUGUCCCCUCCCUGCACCCAGUAACCUGAUGGUGUUAGUUUGGGUAGACUAGGAUGCCCUAUUGAAGCUGGCAUCACUCUGGGCAUCACCUUGUUUCACCACCACGGUGGUGGCUCCCACUUCAGUGCUGCAUCAGCAAACCUCCUCCCUCCUUCCCCAAAACCCUGGCAACAAAGGGAAUCCCUCCGGGUGUCCAAACCGAGCAGCCAUCCCUGCUCAGCUCCUCACAUGCUCUUGUUAGACCAUCCCUGUUGCAUUUAAUUAUAGAUAUUACACUCUUUUCUCCUGCAAAGAAUGACUCGCAGGGUGAUCCUGGAGUUCAUUUGAAACAUGAAAUUACUGGUGCAGCUUUCAGAUGGGAAGCAUCGCUGCUCUGACCGGCGGGUAAUUAAUGAGGCAGUGCAGGGCCACAGUAAUUAGUGGCAGCAGUAAGUGUUCUCAUGGAGCCCUGCUUGCCAAGGUGCGUGUCUCUGCCACAGCAGCAGCCCCAUCGUGGUGCUGAGGGUGGAUGCGGCCACGGGGGCAUCAUGGUGUUGAGAAAACAGGUCUGCGGGACUUGGGAGGUGGAUGCAUGAGAGCUAUCGGGGUGAAAGCUCAAUGCAGGAGCCCCAGGGAGCCACAGACCUGUUGUUCUUCAGCCCUCUGCAUGAAAAUGCAGAAAGAAGAAGGGAAAACAUGAAUGAAGUAGGGGCUGUUGGGAUGGCACCUAUGGAUCAAAUCAGUUGGGGUCUGCCCAGCGUGACUGAAAUGUUCUCUUCCAGCAGCAGCUGUUGUGCCCCGUGAAUCAAAUAUUCAGUAUAAUAUUUAAAUACGAUUAAUUCAUGCAAUUUCAGCUUUUAUACUAUAGUAAAAUAUUCAUUUUCAGAUAGUAUAAAGGUUGAGGCUACAUCCAUCAAAUGUUACAAAAAAAGGAUAAAGCUUAAAGCAUUUCCUCCCCUGUACAACACUGGAUGUUGGAGAGGUGAAACAGGGGAGUCACAGUGAUUUACUGCAGUUUGCUCCUAGCAGGCUUAGCCCCUCCACUGGGUAGCAAAGGACCAGCACAGCAGAACUCCUUGUGCAGCACUGCAGGAGAGGGUAGGUCCCUGGGGCAGCACCGAGAUGCUCCCAGUGCCAGGAGAGGAUCUCAGCACCUCUGGGAACUCACUGGGGUAAGAGAGCUCUUUUUUCACUAGCGUGACCAUCUCACAUACAGAUAAAGCUGGAACCAUGUUUUGUUAAUACACAAAAUGAAACAAGCUCCAAACCAGCCUAGAGGAGAACUUCCCCACUUACAUACCCCUCAGGCUAGGAAAAACACUGGUUGGGUUUUGGGAUCCUUCUGGAGGUAGUUGAGGGGUAGCAGAGUUGGUCCAGUGUCAGAAGUUUCUCCUGGUGGCCUUCUUCCCCCAUAACCUGGCUCCAUCUCUGCCCAAGGAGGAGGGUUUUGGUCUCCAUCCCACACAGGGAGAUUUGAGCUUGGGUCUCUCCCAUCCCGGAGGAUCACUGUAGUCUGGGGAUACAAGAUGCCCAGGAAAAAUGAUUCCCAUACAACACUUCAGCUAGACACUGGUGAGGAAGGGAGCUGGGAGGGAGGACAGGAGGCAGACGGACCGUCCUGGAUCUCUGCUGCCUUAUCUGGGACAUGUCAGUGUUUCUGUUCACCACCUCCCACCAUGGCCCAGUGCUGCAGUGGGGAUUUACUGGGGUGUUUGGCCUAUUGAUUCCCAUGGUCAGUGCAGGCAUACAGGGCUUGAAAAGCAAGGGCUUGAUGUACCCCCAGACCCGUCCCAGUUCCUGCCCCAUGGCUGGUACCCUGCUCGAAUGAGGUGGUGCUGAUGUAAUUUAGGUGACCUGGAGACCAGAGCCACCAGCUGACCCCAGCAGCAUCAUGCUGUGAGCUCCUGCUGGAAGGUUUACAUGGAGCACAGUCCUCUGGCCUGGCUCACAACUCAAAAAGCACUUGUUGAAGGGAAGUGGAGAGGGAAGAGUAAUGCUUCCAGCCCGAAGGGCAGCACAAGCUAUCUCUAGACUGAACGUGGGACAAUUAAUGCCUCUAAGAUGGGCUAAAUGGAUUGUUUGAGAUUUGGGGCUGUGAAGUACAAUCGAAAGCAAAGUCUUUGACUAUUGUUAUAAUUGUUAACAGGCUCCUUUUGAAGCACUGUGCAAAGAAAUGGAUAGACUUCAGCCAUCAAUAAUAUCGCUGGAGGAGAAAAUUGAAGGGAUAUCUGCCCAAUUAAAUAACCUGCAGGGCUGGAAUUGAGAAUCAAUGUGGCAUGAACGAUGAGGAUGCAUCACUUGCUGGCAAUGCUGGGGCCACCCUACUCAAGAGAGCCACCAAGGCAGAGUGGGCCUUCUGUGGAAGUACAAUCCCAUCAUCUGGGCCCCUUUCCAGCAGCGAUUAAGGGAUCUUUCCAAGCCCACCUGAGGAUGCAUGUCCAUAUUGUUCCUCUUCUCAGCACCCCCAUGCUCCUCUGCAUGGGCAUCCAGCAUCGAGUUGGAGCUUGGAUUAUUAAGACCUUAUGCAGAGAGUAAAGCUGCUCCCACUGCAACACGGCUGCAGCCAGGCAGAGAGCAAGGCAGGGGUGCAGGAAGGUGUCUGCGGCAAGUCUGUGCCUGGAUCCUGCUUCUUUCAGAACAGAAGAGGGGACAACCAGGCUCCUCCUCACUGGAGCUGAUCCUGUGCUGCCUGCACAGAGUUACAGCGCCUACUCUGCAAUUCCUCACCCCCACCAAAAUGCUGCUGAGAGGGAUCCAGGACAAAAGCAACACAUAUCAUCCACUUUGAUGGCAGAACUCGCUGUAUCCAGUCUAGAGGUGAAUGAUUUCCUGCAGCCAGGAGAGCAUCCCUUUCAGCCGUGCAUCCCAAGGCUGCUCCAAGGUGCUACUGGUUGCUGUACAGGGCUCUCCAGUGGCAGCAGGGCUGGAUGGGCCCAUCCCUUCCCAACCCGGGGACACAGGUUUGUGACAUGUGUGCCUCUGCCAUGCUGAAUUGGUUAUUCCCAGCACUUGACCAUUCCAUGGAGUCACACGCUGCUUGGAAAUCCUCAACAGGAACAGUUUUAUUGACAGGAAAGGCGGUUUUCUCAAGAUGGAAACUUCCCACAAGAAAGUGGUGCUUUCAAUCAAAUGUUGCUUGGGAGGGUGAAGGGAAAGGAAAAAUGUGUCAUAGAGGGUUUUGGUUAAGUGAAAACAUUGUUGUUUCCGCACAUUUGGAAUGGAAAGCUUCAAUUUUUCACUUCCAAGUGAUUUUCAUGCUGACAUUUCUUUUAUUCCAUAUCAUCAGGCAGCUUCAAAUAUUAGAGUCUCACCGCCAGAAGGGGAAACACUUUGGGCGGCGUCUCCCGCCUUUCCCACCUUCCCUUCCUUUUCCUCCUUUUAGGCAAUUGGAAAUAGUGGAAUUUCUUUCAGGCACUAGUUAUUUCACUGCCUCCUUGCCUCCAGCACAGGCUAAGGGCAUGUUAAGCUUUCCUUGCAUACCAGAUUGCCACAAAACCUUGUCCCUUAUCUACUCUUCCCACUCUUGUGUGCAACACAAAUUGCACCAAGCUGAACCCGGCUCUUGCCCCUUUUAAGUGCCAGCAUGUGAGGGUGUUCGAUGGCUGGAGACUCAGUGAUAGUGACCAGCAAACAGGGGAAAGAAUGAGAUUUAUAGAGAUGAUUAUGCAAAAGAAGUAGUGGCCCCUUUUUCCCCCCUUUCUCCUCAUCUUGUGCAAAUUACCCUAUUAUUCUGCUCCCUUAGGAUGCCUGAGUGUCCUUAUUUCUUCUUUUGAGCUAAAGUCAUCCAUGCAUUAAAUUAGUUCUCUGCCUAGAAAUAGCUUGAUUACUUUCUCCAAGCUACAGUUAAUGUGGAGUUCUCUGAGUGUUUUAAAAAGAAAAAGGGGGCAAAAAGGGGAAGAGGGGAGUGGAAGGGGCAGGAUGGAGCCCGGUAGAAGAUCGAUUUGCCUCCAAUGUGAGGUGCUGUGGGGCAGGAGAGGGGGCAGUGGCUGUCACCUGCAUAGUGUGGCUGGAGGGGUCAGUCUCCUGUCCCUGGGAGCAGUCACCUUUCACAAGGGCAUGUGGAAUUGUGGGGCUGGACUUGAUGGCCCACUCGGUCCUGUCCAUCUCUUCCCAUAGCACUGGGUGGAUAAUGGUAUUUUUCCUUCUGACUUGCUUCAAAUUGUGUCUCAGAUGUCUUCUCUCUUCCAUGUUGAUGCUGUGUGGAGCUCUAACCGAAGGGAAGGAGGAAGAUCAUGGUGGGAUGCCCCAUCCUAAUGUUGAGGAUGAGUAACUAACUCAAGAAAACUGCCAGAACUCAGGAAGACCCAGGAUCUCUCAAGAUCCCAGAUUUUCUUCCCUACCACAAGUUGACCCCCCCCUCCUGCUUCCAAGGCAGGAGUCCACUGCAGACUUCAGCAUAUUUGAAUAGUAAAACCUCACUUAAUGCAUUUGCUGUGCUAACACCCUGCAGGAGCAGGCACAUCCCCACCCCAGCCAGGAGCAGCUCUUGAGCCGAGCGUGCAGGACCACAAAAUGCAUUCUCACUUCCCCGAGCUCCUCUCCUUCUUCCUCUGAGCCUGUUCUCUUGUUGCUGGGGACAGGCAAGCUCCUCAUCCCUCCUCCACCUACAAACCACAGCAGAUUAUCUCCCUCUCAUCCCUCCUUUUUAGCCUGUAAGCAGCAGGAAAGGUGAGCACUCAGUGCUGCUCCCCUCCGCGCUCGGUGCCUCUGGGCUGGCUGCAGCUCGCACCAACUCCUGGCUCCCACUGGGCAUCAAGAUCAUCUCUGACUUGCACUCCCCGCUGUAACGUGCUCCCUGUUCCCCUAUUAACUGUGGCUGCUUUUCUUCUCUUCACCCUCCUUCCCUUUCUGCAAAGCUUUUCCAAGGAGGCAGCUGGGGCUGAGCCCGUUGCCCAGGAGGGGCUGUGAAUCUCAGAUAAUGCCUUAGAAAAUGUCUCGUGCUAUUUUGUGCUCAUUCCUUUGUAUCGCCUUGACAUUUGUGCUAGGGUUUGGGGGGGGUUAUUACUUUUUCCUUUAAUUCCCCUGGCUCUUGGGCAGGUGUCUGCUUCCAGCUGUUUGCAGGAGCCCCAAAAGCUGUUCUUGGAUGUCAGCUGCUAAUUCAGGGCCAAUUAUCCUUUCUUUCCCACUGUGUUUCCUUGUAUCCUUUACUGAGCUACAUCUACAGACAUGGGGCUUCAUUCUUUUUCUCUUUCCCAGUUGCUUUGCUUCCCACAGGCUCCUCUAAAAACCCCUUCACUGCCUUUACUGACUGCUGGAAGUCAUUUGAGGAGCAUCAGCAAAUACAGAGUGAAGGCGUGUGGCUGCCAUCCUCUCCCAAGACUUGCACCGCAUCCCGCUGAUGCUCUUCCUCCUCUCUGAGAGCAAACCAGUUCUCCCAGUAGCUGGGGAGGGAUCCCAGUAUGUGACUCUCCCAUGGAGAGCUGCUAAAGGAAUCACUUUCAGUUACCCAGAGCCCAGGCUGCCUGCCCAGCCCGACUGGCAUCCAAGCAAUCAGUUCCCCUUCAGCGCCGUGGCCUCCCAUCCUGUUCUCCCAAACAAUGACAAAUGGAGCAUCACACUGAUGUGAAUGGAGCAGCAAGCAUCCGCAGGAGGAAUAAAUAAUUACCUAUUUGCCAGAUAGGACAAGGCAGGGAGAGGCUUCUCUAUGCAGAUCCUGGUGGAGAGGCAUCACCAAGUGAUGCUCUGGGGGUCCUCAGGGCUGCCAUGUCUCCAGUGUGGUUGGGGAAAGGCUCCUCAGCCAGCAGCGGGGGCACUGUAGCAUUGCUGGGGUCCAAAUAGUGCCUGUGCUAUCUCUUCAGCUUCCAGAGCAGCAGUGGGAUGAGCUGCCACAAAGCUCUCCAGAUGUUUGGAGGGGAUGAGGUGAGCCUGAGGUCUUCUUCAUGGUCUCUGUGGGAGAAGAGCCACAUCUGGAGUGGGUUUUGCACCAUCCAGCUUGCCUUCUCCACAUGAAUUCACACUCAGAGUGUGUCUCUCCUGGAGUUAAAAUUUACUCCCUGUCUCACUUUGACCAAGGCGCAGAAGAGCUCCUUGCCAUGGAUGAGGAGGUGGGAAGAUGAGCUCUCCAAACUGGGGUACACCAGCACAGAAAACAUCUCCAGGCUGGUCCCAAUCCCUUCCUUACUGGAAUUGAGAUAAGCAGCUUCAGGAGAAUCUGGUCCAUGCCAGGAGGUGGGAUGAUGCCUGCAUGUGGUUACAGCUUUCCUCUUUUCUUCCUUUAAUUAAAAAGAAAAUGUCUCCCUCCAAAGUCAUUAAUUCCUAAUGACACAAUUAGAGCCACUAAAGAGGGGUAGGGAGAACAAGAUGAAAAAGAAAAAGAAGGGAAAAAAAGCACAAAACAAACCCAAAUCCUCAAAAAACCCUCUGGCAAUUUGAGACAUUUGAAGCUUGAGAGAAAUUAAGGAAAUAAUUGCUUAGUUUGAACUUCAUUCUCAUUCCUGCUGGGCCCACACAGGGGGGGUCAGCGUGUGGAUGGAAACCACCUUUCCAGUGCUCCUCCUUUCCAUCAGAGGAAGGAGACCAGUCUGUCUCUCUCACGUAAUCUGAUGUUCCUGCUUAGCGGCAGACCCUCAGGCAGUAUUGCACAUCAGGGUCCUUUUCUGCAGCCUGCCAACUUUCCAUAUGGGAAACCUGGAUUUGCCACCAUAAUCUCCAUAGUCCCAUUUUUCCAUAUCUACCUUGCCAGCACUGGCAUCUCUUGUGGCCUCACCCCUACUUCUCUGUCUCCCAACCACCCCAUCUCCCUAGCUAAGAAAUCACAGCUCUUCCCUCCUGCCCUGUCCCCUGUUCUGCUGGUGCCCAGGGAUGGAGCAUUGCUGCGAGCUGAGGACAAGCAGGGGCAACUCUUGAUGUUCAAAGCUAAAGCUCCUUGCCUUUGAAAGGGCUGGCUUAAAUUGCUUGAAGACUCUCUGAAAGAUAGAUUAAGGGCGUAGGAAGAGGGAAGCCCAGCAGAGCUGCUGGCUGCCUGCUGAGUGCUUAUUAUUUCUGUCAGCUGAGUGCUUUAACUUGGUAAUCUCAGAUUGAAAUGGAUUUUGGGAAGGGAGGGAGCGGUGGCUGUUUCUGCAGAGUCUGGAUUAGGCAAAGAGCAAGUUUCAGCCUCUCCGUUGAUGGUGAAAAGCAAUCUCUGACCUGGAGGUGGGAUGGAGCCAGAGCCCUGGGUUUGGCAGAGGAAUGGGUGAAACGUCACCUCAUGGUGGAUCUCCAAGCUCCCCACCUCCUUCUCCAUCCUGGCCAUCUCUGGUCCUCAGGAAGUGAAGGUACCUAAAGGUGGGCUUCUGCCCACUGGUAGUCAUGAGGAUUUGGUAGGUAGUUCCUCUCCUCUGGGGCCCACAAAGGACAGUGGGGUUUCUGUAGAUCCUGUACUCCUGGCGGUGGUGCUUUAAGCUGUGUCCCGGGGAUGGGUGCUUUUCUGCUUGCUAAGAGCUCUGGCACAAGUGUGCCUACAUGGUCUCAAAGGUGGUUAGUGUUCUUGAUGGGUGUGCAAGAACGGGUGACCCUGCGCCUCCAUGCACAGCAAGGGACUGGAGUUUCCUUGUUCUCAUUUCAGUGCAGAGCAAUUUCUAGGCAGGACAUGCUGGAAAUAAUCCCAGGGGAAGGACUGAGACAUGUUCACCUUGCCUACGACUCCAACCUCUUAGCAAGAACAGGUCCCUUUCUGCAUACAGAGGGAGAUAGAUCCUACCCACUCACUACAUCUCUGUCUCAUCUCCUCACCAAGACUUCACAGCCCCAGUGCCCAAGCUGCUGCCUGGUGAUAGAGGAGGAAGCUUCAUCCUUACUAUUCUCUUCGGGACCUGUCUUGCAGGCCACCAAACUGUGGUGGGCAAUCUCACUCCAUCUCAUCAGGAGGCUGCAAAGGUGUCAUCCUUGUCUUGCUCCAGGUUGCAGCAGUCUUAGUGAAAAGCCAAGCCCUUUGCUCUGUGCUAUGUGACCCUUGGAUAGCAAACCAUAUAAAUGUGGUCAGCAUUUGUCGUGGAGGUUCCAGUGAGCGUCUGUGUGCCCAGCCAAAGGCCACAUGGUUUUCUACUGGGACAUGCUCUCAGCUCCAGUUCUCACCAGCUUUCUCCUUCUGGAUCUGUAAGGGGUGUGCAAAAAAAAGCAGGGAAAGGCAAAACCCAGGAAGGAAAAUCCAAGUUCUUACUGACUGCUUGGUCCCUCCAGAGACUAUGGCAAGUGGGGAUUGGGAGGGAGAAAAGCUCCUAAUACAUCGCUUUGUCUUCAAGCAAUUAUGUGCAAGUGAGUUAAUCACAGGGUCACAGAAGCCAUAACCAUUAAUUAAUCCCCAGCAUGAGCUGCAAAGAUGAAUUAUUUCCUGCAGCAAACAGACGUGAGAACCAGCGUGGCAAGGAAUGCAGCUCCCAGCAGAUGAGCACAGCUGGUGCCAGCAGCUCCACCACGGCUCCACAGGAUGGACCCCUGGACCACAGACCAGCCCCUUGCAUCCCUGCCAAGCCCCAAGGCCUUGAGGGUAAAAGCUUUCCUGCCAGAUCACUGCCUUUGGAUGGCCAUGACAGGGGGAGAAGGGGAAUGGCCACAAAACCAGAGGGUCAGUCACUCCUACAAGUGGUAGAAGGCAAAGGCACGUGGUUCUGCUCCCCACAGAGCUGUGAGCAGGGGUAGGGAACUGGAUGGGCAUCCAUGUGGAAUGCUGUGGGUAUCCCUGCUGCCCGUAAUCCAGCUGGAUUAGGUUUGGUUAUAAACCAAGGAAGCUCCACUGGAUCAUCUAAGCAGCCUUUAGAUGGGAAAAGCUGGGAAGCUGCUGCCAGGGGGUGUCUGCCCUCCUGUGCCACCCCAAUUGGAUACACUGCCUAUGGGAUCUGUUCCUGCGCUGUUAUAGUGGGAGAUGGGAAAGAGGGCAUGGAGGGGUAGAGGGGAGGAUCUACAUUGUCUAUUUAAUACCUAUUUUCACCUAAAUUGCCAUUUUAAUAACUAUCUAUCUGCUCUUGUAUUUUAAAGCUUUGUAGAAAGAUCCUGUUAAAUUCCAAAUGCAGACACAUCUCCUGGUGAAAUGGCUCUGAAGCCAGCCCAGGACAAAUAAAACUGUGCUGUAAAUCCA